rnacentral:rRNA from 1 species
CGGACGGGUUAGUAACGCGUGGGAACGUGCCCUUCACUACGGAAUAGUCCCGGGAAACUGGGUUUAAUACCGUAUACGCCCUUCGGGGGAAAGAAUUUCGGUGAAGGAUCGGCCCGCGUUAGAUUAGAUAGUUGGUGGGGUAACGGCCUACCAAGUCUACGAUCUAUAGCUGGUUUUAGAGGAUGAUCAGCAACACUGGGACUGAGACACGGCCCAGACUCCUACGGGAGGCAGCAGUGGGGAAUCUUAGACAAUGGGCGCAAGCCUGAUCUAGCCAUGCCGCGUGAGUGAUGAAGGCCUUAGGGUCGUAAAGCUCUUUCGCCAGGGAUGAUAAUGACAGUACCUGGUAAAGAAACCCCGGCUAACUCCGUGCCAGCAGCCGCGGUAAUACGGAGGGGGUUAGCGUUGUUCGGAAUUACUGGGCGUAAAGCGCGCGUAGGCGGAUUGGAAAGUUGGGGGUGAAAUCCCAGGGCUCAACCCUGGAACUGCCUCCAAAACUAUCAGUCUAGAGUUCGAGAGAGGUGAGUGGAACUCCGAGUGUAGAGGUGAAAUUCGUAGAUAUUCGGAAGAACACCAGUGGCGAAGGCGGCUCACUGGCUC